rnacentral:rRNA from 1 species
GAUGAACGCUGGCGGCGUGCCUAAUACAUGCAAGUCGAGCGAACAGAUGAGGAGCUUGCUCCUCUGACGUUAGCGGCGGACGGGUGAGUAACACGUGGAUAACCUACCUAUAAGACUGGGAUAACUUCGGGAAACCGGAGCUAAUACCGGAUAAUAUAUUGAACCGCAUGGUUCAAUAGUGAAAGACGGUUUUGCUGUCACUUAUCGAUGGAUCCGCGCCGCAUUAGCUAGUUGGUAAGGUAACGGGUUACCAAGGCAACGAUGCGUAGCCGACCUGAGAGGGGGAUCGGCCACACUGGAAGUUAGCCACGGUCCAGACUCCUACGGGAGGGAGCAGUAGGGAAUCUUCGGCAAUGGGCGAAAGCCUGACGGAGCAACGCCGCGUGAGUGAUGAAGGUCUUCGGAUCGUAAAACUCUGUUAUUAGGGAAGAACAAAUGUGUAAGUAACUAUGCACGUCUUGACGGUACCUAAUCAGAAAGCCACGGCUAACUACGUG